UACGAAGGGGGCAAGCGUUGUCCGGAAUCAUUGGGCGUAAAGCGUGCGCAGGCGGUCCGUUAAGACAGAUGUGAAAUCCCCGGGCUUAACCUGGGAAUGGCCGUCGAAACUGGCGAACUGGAGUGUGGCAGAGGGGGGUGGAAUUCCGCGUGUAGCAGUGAAAUGCGUAGAGAUGCGGAGGAACACCGAUGGCGAAGGCAGCCCCCUGGGCUGACACUGACGCUCAGGCACGAAAGCGUGGGGAGCAAACAGG
rnacentral:rRNA from 1 species